rnacentral:rRNA from 1 species
GAUGAACUCUGGCGGCGUGCCUAACACAUGCAAGUCGAACGAAGCACCUUACUUGAUUCUUCGGAUGAAGGUCUGGUGACUGAGUGGCGGACGGGUGAGUAACGCGUGGGUAACCUGCCCUGUACAGGGGGAUAACAGCUGGAAACGGCUGCUAAUACCGCAUAAGCGCACGAGGAGACAUCUCCUUGUGUGAAAAACUCCGGUGGUACAGGAUGGGCCCGCGUCUGAUUAGCUGGUUGGCAGGGUAACGGCCUACCGAGGCAACGAUCAGUAGCCGGUCUGAGAGGAUGAACGGCCACAUUGGAACUGAGACACGGUCCAAACUCCUACGGGAGGCAGCAGUGGGGAAUAUUGCACAAUGGGGGAAACCCUGAUGUAGCAACGCCGCGUGAGUGAAGAAGUAUUUCGGUAUGUAAAGCUCUAUCAGCAGGGAAGAUAAUGACGGUACCUGACUAAGAAGCUCCGGCUAAAUACGUGCCAGCAGCCGCGGUAAUACGUAUGGAGCAAGCGUUAUCCGGAUUUACUGGGUGUAAAGGGUGCGUAGGUGGCAGUGCAAGUCAGAUGUGAAAGGCCGGGGCUCAACCCCGGAGCUGCAUUUGAAACUGCUCGGCUAGAGUACAGGAGAGGCAGGCGGAAUUCCUAGUGUAGCGGUGAAAUGCGUAGAUAUUAGGAGGAACACCAGUGGCGAAGGCGGCCUGCUGGACUGUUACUGACACUGAGGCACGAAAGCGUGGGGAGCAAACAGGAUUAGAUACCCUGGUAGUCCACGCCGUAAACGAUGA